rnacentral:rRNA from 1 species
AUUGAACGCUGGCGGCAGGCCUAACACAUGCAAGUCGAACGAGUGGCGGACGGGUGAGUAAUGUCUGGGAAACUGCCCGAUGGAGGGGGAUAACUACUGGAAACGGUAGCUAAUAACGCAUACUAUCGGAUGUGCCCAUAUGGGAUUAGCUAGUAGGUGGGGUAAAGGCUCACCUAGGCGACGAUCCCUAGCUGGUCUGAGAGGAUGACCAGCCACACUGGAACUGAGACACGGUCCAGACUCCUACGGGAGGCAGCAGGGGGGAAUAUUGCACAAGGGGCGCAAGCCUGAUGCAGCCAUGCCGCGUGUAUGAAGAGGGCCUCCGGGUUGUAAAGUACGUUCAGCGGGGAGGCGUUACCCGCAGAAGAAGCACCGGCUAACUCCGUGCCAGCAGCCGCGGUAAUAC